rnacentral:rRNA from 1 species
CAAGUCGAACGGGAUCCAUGUUGUAGCAAUACUUCGGAAGAUCUAGUGGCGAACGGGUGAGGAACACGUGAGAAACCUGCCCCGGACUUUGGGAUAACAGUUGGAAACGAUUGCUAAUACCGAAUGCCGUCGCGAAGUGGCAUCACUUUGCGACGAAAGAAUUUCGGUCCGGGAGGGUCUCGCGGCCUAUCAGCUAGUUGGUGGGGUAACGGCCUACCAAGGCAUCGACGGGUAGCUGGUCUGAGAGGAUGAUCAGCCACACUGGGACUGAGACACGGCCCAGACUCCUACGGGAGGCAGCAGUGGGGAAUCUUGUGCAAUGGGCGAAAGCCUGACACAGCAACGCCGCGUGCGGGAAGAAGGCCUUCGGGUCGUAAACCGCUUUCAGCAGGAACGAAAAUGACGGUACCUGCAGAAGAAGGUGCGGCCAACUACGUGCCAGCAGCCGCGGUGACACGUAGGCACCAAGCGUUGUCCGGAUUUAUUGGGCGUAAAGAGCUCGUAGGCGGUUCAGCAAGUCGGGUGUGAAAACUCUGGGCUCAACCCAGAGCCUGCACCCGAAACUGCUGUGACUAGAGUUCGGUAGGGGAGCGGGGAAUUCCUAGUGUAGCGGUGAAAUGCGCAGAUAUUAGGAGGAACACCGGUGGCGAAGGCGCCGCUCUGGGCCGAAACUGACGCUGAGGAGCGAAAGCGUGGGUAGCAAACAGGAUUAGAUACCCUGGUAGUCCACGCCGUAAACGUUGGGCACUAGGUGUGGGUCUCUAACCAACGAGAUCCGCGCCGUCGCUAACGCAUUAAGUGCCCCGCCUGGGGAGUACGGUCGCAAGACUAAAACUCAAAGGAAUUGACGG